rnacentral:rRNA from 1 species
ACGCCGCGUGAGGGAUGAAGGCCUCUGGGCUGUAACCUCUUUUCUCAAGGAAGAAGAUCUGACGGUACUUGAGGAAUAAGCCACGGCUAAUUCCGUGCAGCAGCCGCGGUAAUACGGGAGUGGCAAGCGUUAUCCGGAAUUAUUGGGCGUAAAGCGUCCGCAGGCGGUCUUGAAAGUCUGUUGUUAAAGCGUGGAGCUUAACUCCAUUUGAGCAAUGGAAACUGCAAGACUAGAGUGUGGUAGGGGCAGAGGGAAUUCCCGGUGUAGCGGUGAAAUGCGUAGAUAUCGGGAAGAACACCAGUGGCGAAGGCGCUCUGCUGGGCCAUAACUGACGCUCAUGGACGAAAGCCAGGGGAGCGAAAGGGAUUAGAUACCCCUGUAGUCCUGGCCGUAAGCGAUGAACACUAGGUGUCGGGGGAAUCGACCCCCUCGGUGUCGUAGCCAACGCGUUAAGUGUUCCGCCUGGGGAGUACGCACGCAAGUGUGAAACUCAAAGGAAUUGACGGGGGCCCGCACAAGCGGUGGAGUAUGUGGUUUAAUUCGAUGCAACGCGAAGAACUUUACAGGGUUUGAAAUCCUGCGAACCCCUUAGACAUCGGGGGGUGCUUCG